rnacentral:rRNA from 1 species
AACGUACGCUGGCGGCACGCCUAACACAUGCAAGUCGAACGAAGUAGCAAUACUUAGUGGCAGACGGGUGAGUAACAUGUGGGUAUCUACCCUUUGGCCUGGAAUAACACGAGGAAACUUGUGCUAAUACCGGAUAAGUCUUUACGGAGAAAGCUUUAUGCACCAUUGGAGGAGCCCGCACCUGAUUAGUUUGUUGGUAGGGUAAUGGCCUACCAAGACUAUGAUCAAUAGCUGAUUUGAGAGGAUGAUCAGCCACAUUGGGACUGAGACACGGCCCAAACUCCUACGGGAGGCAGCAGUGGGGAAUCUUGCACAAUGGAGGAAACUCUGAUGCAGCGAUGCCGCGUGAGUGAAGAAGGCCUUUGGGUUGUAAAGCUCUUUCGUCGGGGAAGAAAAUGACUGUACCCGAAUAAGAAGGUCCGGCUAACUUCGUGCCAGCAGCCGCGGUAAUACGAAGGGACCUAGCGUAGUUCGGAAUUACUGGGCUUAAAGAGUUCGUAGGUGGUUGAAAAAGUUGGUGGUGAAAUCCCAGAGCUUAACUCUGGAACUGCCAUCAAAACUUUUCAGCUAGAGUAUGAUAGAGGAAAGCAGAAUUUCUAGUGUAGAGGUGAAAUUCGUAGAUAUUAGAAAGAAUACCAAUUGCGAAGGCA